rnacentral:other from 1 species
UUUAUCCUAUAGAUUUUGAGGAUCAAUCAUAAAUCCGACUAAGUCGAUAAUUAGGGAACCGAAAGAUAUAGCUGGUGUUUGUGAAUGCCUAUCCAUUAAGUGUUGUAGGAAUCCUAAAAGUUACAUCGUGGUGCCCACCUGUAAUAUGCAGGGGUUUAUCGCAAUUGAUUCUCGUAUCUAUGGGAUUUUU